rnacentral:rRNA from 1 species
GACGAACGCUGGCGGCGUGCUUAACACAUGCAAGUCGAACGGUAAGGCUCCAGCUUGCUGGGGUACACGAGUGGCGAACGGGUGAGUAACACGUGGGUGACCUGCCCUGCACUUCGGGAUAAGCCUGGGAAACUGGGUCUAAUACCGGAUAGGACCGCACCGUGAGGGUGUGGUGGAAAGUUUUUUCGGUGUGGGAUGGGCCCGCGGCCUAUCAGCUUGUUGGUGGGGUAAUGGCCUACCAAGGCGGCGACGGGUAGCCGGCCUGAGAGGGUGGACGGCCACAUUGGGACUGAGACACGGCCCAGACUCCUACGGGAGGCAGCAGUGGGGAAUAUUGCACAAUGGGCGGAAGCCUGAUGCAGCGACGCCGCGUGGGGGAUGACGGCCUUCGGGUUGUAAACUCCUUUCACCAUCGACGAAGGGUUUCUGACGGUAGAUGGAGAAGAAGCACCGGCUAACUACGUGCCAGCAGCCGCGGUAAUACGUAGGGUGCGAGUGUUGUCCGGAAUUACUGGGCGUAAAGAGCUCGUAGGUGGUUUGUCGCGUCGUCUGUGAAAUUCCGGGGCUUAACUCCGGGCGUGCAGGCGAUACGGGCAUAACUUGAGUACUGUAGGGGAGACUGGAAUUCCUGGUGUAGCGGUGAAAUGCGCAGAUAUCAGGAGGAACACCGGUGGCGAAGGCGGGUCUCUGGGCAGUAACUGACGCUGAGGAGCGAAAGCAUGGGGAGCGAACAGGAUUAGAUACCCUGGUAGUCCAUGCCGUAAACGGUGGGCGCUAGGUGUGGGUUUCCUUCCACGGGAUCCGUGCCGUAGCUAACGCAUUAAGCGCCCCGCCUGGGGAGUACGGCCGCAAGGCUAAAACUCAAAGGAAUUGACGGGGGCCCGCACAAGCGGCGGAGCAUGUGGAUUAAUUCGAUGCAACGCGAAGAACCUUACCUGGGCUUGACAUAUACAGGAUCGCGCCAGAGAUGGUGUUUCCCUUGUGGCUUGUAUACAGGUGGUGCAUGGUUGUCGUCAGCUCGUGUCGUGAGAUGUUGGGUUAAGUCCCGCAACGAGCGCAACCCUUGUCUUAUGUUGCCAGCACGUUGUGGUGGGGACUCGUAAGAAACUGCCGGGGUUAACUCGGAGGAAGGUGGGGAUGACGUCAAAUCAUCAUGCCCCUUAUGUCCAGGGCUUCACACAUGCUACAAUGGUCGGUACAGUGGGUUGCCAGUCCGUGAGGGCGAGCUAAUCCCGCAAAGCCGGUCUCAGUUCGGAUCGGGGUCUGCAACUCGACCCCGUGAAGUCGGAGUCGCUAGUAAUCGCAGAUCAGCAACGCUGCGGUGAAUACGUUCCCGGGCCU